CCCUUAGAUGUCCUGGGCCGCACGCGCGUUACACUGAUGCAUUCAACGAGCUUAUAACCUUGGCCGAGAGGCCUGGGCAAUCUUGUUAACGUGCAUCGUGAUAGGGAUAGAUUAUUGAAAUUAUUAAUCUUGAACGAGGAAUUCCUAGUAAGCGCAAGUCAACAGCUUGCGUUGAUUACGUCCCUGCCCUUUGUACACACCGCCCGUCGCUACUACUGAUUGGAUGUUUAAGCGAGGUUCUCGAACUGCUAGCGACUUAGCUUCGGUGAGGUCGCAGUGUGGGAAGUGAACCUAGCUUUGGUGUCUAGAGGAAGUAAAAGUCGUAACA
rnacentral:rRNA from 1 species